AUUGAACGCUGGCGGCAUGCCUUACACAUGCAAGUCGAACGGCAGCACGGGUGCUUGCCCCUGGUGGCGAGUGGCGAGCGGGUGAGUAAUACAUCGGAACAUGUCCUGUAGUGGGGGAUAGCCCGGCGAAAGCCGGAUUAAUACCGCAUACGAUCUACGGAUGAAAGCGGGGGACCUUCGGGCCUCGCGCUAUAGGGUUGGCCGAUGGCUGAUUAGCUAGUUGGUGGGGUAAAGGCCUACCAAGGCGACGAUCAGUAGCUGGUCUGAGAGGACGACCAGCCACACUGGGACUGAGACACGGCCCAGACUCCUACGGGAGGCAGCAGUGGGGAAUUUUGGACAAAGGGCGAAAGCCUGAUCCAGCAAUGCCGCGUGUGUGAAGAAGGCCUUCGGGUUGUAAAGCACUUUUGUCCGGAAAGAAAUCCUUGGCCCUAAUACGGUCGGGGGAUGACGGUACCGGAAGAAUAAGCACCGGCUAACUACGUG
rnacentral:rRNA from 1 species